AACGAACGCUGGCGGCAGGCCUAACACAUGCAAGUCGAACGAAGCCUUCGGGCUUAGCGGCGGACGGGUGAGUAACGCGUGGGAACGUGCCCUUUGGUACGGAAUAGCCCCGGGAAACUGGGAGUAAUACCGUAUGUGCCCUUCGGGGGAAAGAUUUAUCGCCAAAGGAUCGGCCCGCGUUGGAUUAGGUAGUUGGUGGGGUAAUGGCCUACCAAGCCGACGAUCCAUAGCUGGUUUGAGAGGAUGAUCAGCCACACUGGGACUGAGACACGGCCCAGACUCCUACGGGAGGCAGCAGUGGGGAAUCUUAGACAAUGGGGGAAACCCUGAUCUAGCCAUGCCGCGUGAUCGAUGAAGGCCUUAGGGUUGUAAAGAUCUUUCAGUGGGGAAGAUAAUGACUGUACCCACAGAAGAAGCCCCGGCUAACUCCGUGCCAGCCGCCGCAGUAAGAC
rnacentral:rRNA from 1 species